ensembl:lncRNA
GUUAAAACUAACAACAACUCUGGAAAUUAUGUUGAAUAUUAGAGGAAACUCGGCCGAACCAUAUUUAAUUGCACCUGUGGAUCAUGUGACCAUCGAAUCAUGUGACCAUCGAUCCGCAAGAUGCAUCCGGGUCACGUGACCAAUCGGCAGGCGGCAGUGGGAUGUGUUCCUCUUGCUCCUUCCCUGGCCUCCACGCCCACACGGCCUGCUGUGUCUUCUGACAGUUCCCUCUCCAGGUCCCCGUGCUGGUCUCUCCCCCUGGGGGUCGGGGGGAAACUGCCUCUUUCUGUGUCCUUGCAGCCUCUUGCUGUUAUCCACGGCCUCUCCCGUUGCUCUGUUGAAGCCCCCCCCCAUCCCGGCCUGUGUCUGGGAGUGACCUUCUCCCAGCCUGGAGCGAUGUGUGAUCAGACCACCGCUCACACCCCUCACUCUUAGUAAUAAUAAUACCCCCGCUUCAAAUGGGAGUGACACACAAACCAGGGUCCAAAUGGGUUGGGCGACCUCCAUUUCUUAAA